UCUUAGCAUGGAACUCUGGGUCAAGCAAAAUGUUGCCUGACUUGAUGUCCCGAUGGAUAAUAGCAUCUCCCCACUCUUGGUGGAUGUAGUUGAGGCCCCUGGCCAUCAAUAGCGAUGGUCAACCUCCUCAGCUAGUACAAUGGUGCAAGGGCGCCCUUGCGGUAACGGUGGUGCAACCAGUCGUCGAGGCUGCCCUUCUCCAAGUGCUUAUAAACAAGCAGCUUGGCAUCUUAGCUGGAGAUUAUGCAGAGCAGCUUAGUGAUGUUCUUGUGAUUGAGCCCAAUGUCUUCACCUUCGAGCUGAGUUGUUUGUGGUCCGGAUUUCCCGUGUUGCAUAUCUUCUUGACAACCACUAUUUUGCUGUUGCGGUCCUUAGUGCCACCAUCAAGGCUAGGAGGUGGACACGGUACACCUUUCCAGACCGUCGCUGAUGAUAAAAUUAUCCUCAGAUAUGUUGUUGACCACGUCGGAUUUCAUGAAGUCCAGAGGUGUGAAUGGUGUCCUUUUCCAAUCAGUCACGACUUCUUUCACCACUUGUGUGUUCUUCCGGCGCCGGAAGUGCAGCCAUAUGAUGAUGCUCAUAGAAGUGAUGAUGACCGUGACAUUAAACACUAACAAGAUUAUCACACACUUCUGGAGGUGGGUGCCUCUGUGGCAUUUUGGCGGAUUUAUCCUCGAGUCCCGCUUGUCACAAAGCCCACGAUUUUCAUGGAAGUUGUGGUUGUACUUUGCACUUUGCAGAGAGAGGGACACGUCCCCAUUGAGCUGGUUAAAUGACAAAUUGAGGGACACAAUUGAAUGGUUGCCAAAGUCAGGCAGAAUUUUGCCUGUUAGCUCGUUGUUGGACAAAUCAAGGACUACCAGUGAUGAAAUUGUCUCAAUGCUCCAUGACGGUAUUGCACCUGAUAUAUGAUUGUUGCUAAGGUCAAGUGAUUUGAGAUUUUGCAACAAUUUAAUUGAUGUUGGUAUGGAUCCAGGUAUUUUGUUCCCACUUAGUGAAAAUUCAGAAAGCUUGUGGAGAUUGCUCAUGUUGACAGAUAGCUCUCCUGAGAGUUAGCUAUUAUGCACCAUCAACACCAAUAACCUAGUUCCAAACGUCGGGAUCGAGUCGGAGAAGUGGUUGUUUUGCAUCUCAAUUCGAGAGAUAUUCGAAGAUAUGUUUCGUCAUAGUGCUAGUGAAGUUGUGCGAUAUUAGCACUGUAUGCACCAAUAGCAACCACCAUAUAUUCAUCGGAAACUUCCCUGAGAAGUUGUUACCGAGCAUAAUAUUAUCCAGUGAGAGGUAGUUGCCAAUGCUUGCCGGAGAAACCGUUGUUAGAAUCUACUAUGUCGAAUAGUUUCCCAUGAGCGCAAAACUCCUCCAGUAGUGAGCUACACAAGUUUUUGUUGUAGACCUCAAUAUUUCCAAGCGGCGAGUCCUUCCCAAGUUCUUGUAGCACCUCACCCCGAGAGCAUAUUGUCGAAAAACUAGAUGUAUUGGAGGUUGGGAAUGAGGUCAGUGCUUCUAGGGAUGGGGCCUAUGAACUCAUUGUUGUAUAGGAUGAUAAUGGUUAGUUUCUUGAGAGUCCCAAAGUCUUCUGGUAUGCAGCCAGUGAGUUUGUUUGCCGACAAGUCUAUCUUAAUCAAAUUCACCAUAGUGAUGUUGCACGACAGCUCCUCGGUGAGUCCAUUGUCAUACAAGUACAAGAUCUCGAGCUUUUGGUGCUGCCAGAUCCAGACAUGGAUUGAACCACUAAGCUUGUUGCCCCAUGGGUCCAACAUGGUUAGUUCCUUUAGGCUUGAGAAUGCCUCUAGAAUCUCGUCGGUGAAGUCAUUCGUGUUGAGAAUCAGGUUCUGGAGUGCCGAAAGCUCGGCCAUCAGCAUUGGCAGAACUGCAAUAAAGUUGUUGUUAGUUAGGUUGAGGUGCUUCAUAGAUGGUGAUAACCGGCUGAUUUCUUGAGGAGGGAAUCCAUGGAAGCCAUUGUAGGAGAGAUCGAUCAAGGUAUCGAAGCCAGGACCGGGUGUAGAGCGUGAUGCCGGGGAAUCUCCCAGUGAACUUGUUGUAUGAAAAGUCAAGGUGGAUCGGGUACUUGAGGUUGCACAUAGAUGGAGGGAUGUUGCCGGUAAGAUUCAAAGGCUUGAAUGAAAGCCCCAUAAAUAGGCCUCCACCGCUUUCCACACAGCUGACUGGGCUGGUGUCAGCUGCGUGGCAGUAGGUGGAGGCCUAGUUACGGGGCUUUCCUUCAAGCAUUAGAAUUUUAUCAGGAACAUCCCUCCAUCUAUGUGCAACCUCAAGUACCUGAUCCACCUCGACGUUUCAUACAACAAGCUCACUGGGAGAUUCCCUGGCAUUACGUUCUACGCCUACUCCUGGCUACGGUACCAUGAUAUCUACUACAACAGCUUCCAUUGAGUGCUUCCUCAAGAUAUCAGCCGGCUAUCACCAUCUAUGAAGCAUCUCUACCUGACUAACAACAACUUUUGUGGUGUUUUGCCGACGGCGAUGGCCAAGCAUUAGGCACUUCAGAACCUACUUCUUGACACGAGUGGCUUAACCGGCGAGAUUCCAGAGGCAUUCUCAAGCCUAAAGGAACUAACCAUUUUGUACAUGUUGCACAGCAAGUCAGUGCUUCGAUCCUUGUUUGGAUCUGGCAGCACCAAAAGCUCGAGAUAUUAUACUUUUAUGAUAGUGGACUCAACAGGAAGUUGUCUUGCAGCAUCAUUGUGGUGAAUUUGAUUAAAAUAGACUUGUGGGCAAACAAACUCACUGGUUGCAUACCAUAAGACUUUGGGACUCUCAAUAGACUAACCAUUAUCAUCCUAUACAACAACGAGUUCCUAGGCCCCAUCCUCGGAAGCAUUGGCCUCAUUCCCAAACUCCAAUACAUCCAGUUGUUUGACAAUAUGAUCUCGAGUGAGGUACCACAACAACUUGGGAAGCACUUGUCGCUCAGAAAUUUUGAGGACCGCAACAACUUUUCUAGCUCACUACCGGAGCAGGUUAUGCGCCCAUGAGAAACUAUUCAACAUUGUAGUUUCUAACAACAUCUUCUCCAGUGAGCUCCCGAAGCAUUGGCAACUGCCUAUUGCUGGAUAACAUUAUGCUUGACAACAACGACUUCUCUGGGAAGUUUCUGGUGAAUAUAUGGUGGUUGCCAUUGGUACAUACAUUGCUAAUAUCUGACAAAACUUCGCUAGCACUGUGCCAAAAGAUAUAUCUUCGAAUAUCUCUCGAAGUGAGAUGCAGAACAACCACUUGUCCGACUCGAUCCCGACAUAUCAGACUGGGCUAUUGGUGUUGAUGGUGUAGAAUAACCAACUCUCGGGAGAGCUACCUGUCAACAGAAGCAAUCUCCACAUGCUUUCUGAAUUGUCACUAAGUGCGAACAAGAUAUCUGGAUCCAUACCAACAUCAAUUGAAUUGUUGCAGAAUCUCAAAUCACUUGACCUCAGCAACAAUCGUAUAUCAGGUGCAAUACCGGCAUAGAGCAGUGAGAUUAUUUCAUCACUGGUAAUCCUUGAUUUGUCCAACAACGAGAUAACAUGCAAUAUUCCGCCUGACUUUGGCAACCAUUCAAUUGCAUCCCUCAGUUUGUCAUUUAUGACCAACUCAAUGGGAAGAUGCCCCUCUCUCUACAAAGUACAAUUGUGGCUUCCUUCGAAACCGUGGGCUUUGUGCUAAGUGGGGAUCGAGGAUAAAUCUCCCAAAAUGCCAUGGAGGCACCCACCUCUAGAAGCAUAUGAUAAUCUUGUUAGUGCUCGGUGUCACUGUCAUCACUUGCAUGAGCAUCAUCAUACGGUUGCUCUUCCAGCAUCAGAAGAACACACAAGUGCUGAAAGAAGUUGUGACUGAUUAGAAAAUGACACCAUUCACACCUUUGGACUUCAUGGAAUCCGGCAUGCUCAACAACAUAUUUGAGGAGAACAUUAUCAGCAGUGGAGGGUCUGGGAAGGUGUACCGUGUCCACCACCCUAGCCUUCAUGGUCUCAUUGAGGAUCGCAGCAGCAGAAUAAUGGUUGUUAAGAAGGUAUGCAACAUGAGAAAUCUACACCACAAGCAGUCUGACUCGGAGGUGAAGACAUUGGGGAGCAUCAAUCACAAGAACAUGAUCAAGUUGCUUUGCAGCAUCUCCAGCUAAGAUGCCAAGCUGCUUGUUUACGAACACAUGAAGAAGGGCAGCCUCGACGACUGGCUGCACCAUCAUGACCGCAAGGGCGCCCCUGCACCAUUGGACUGGCUGACAAGGCUAACCAUUGCUAUUGAUGCAUCCAGGGGCCUCAACUACAUCCACAAAGAGUGCAGACAGGCUAUUAUCCAUCGGGACAUCAAGUCAGGCAACAUUUUGUUUGACCCAGAGUUCCAUGCCAAGAUCGCCGACUUUAGGCUUGCCCGAAUGGUUGUCAACCCACGCCAGUCCCACCACAGGUCAGCCAUUUUUGGGACACACGGGUACAUGGCCCCUGAUGAGAAUCUCAAAUCCAGCAAGGCAUCUCAAACGUUUCUGUUGAGAUCUAACUGAUUGCAAAUUUUGCAAAAUACUAUUAGUACAAUGGAGGGGCAAGCUCUAGAGGGCCGAUAUCUAUAGUUUUGGUGUGGUUCUACUAGAGCUAACAACCGACAUGGUUGCUGAGGGCGUUGGAGGAGGAGAAAGCCUGGCUGAAUGGGCAUUGAAGGUAUUACAGGAUCCCUCUUUAACGAAAGACAAAAUCAUCAAACAUAUCCGUGACUCGGUCCAUUGAGAGGAUAUUUUUAUGGUGUUGAAACUCGUGUUCCCUACACGAGUCCUUAAGCAUAUCUAUGGCCAAGCAUGAAGCGCGUCCUUACCCAGUUCAUGCUCAUCCAAUGCGACCGGAGGCAUGUGUGUACAGAGGCUGGGGCUGAGACCAUGUUGCGGAGGAGCGUGUCCGAGAGGGGCACCAACAGCAGUCGGUAUGGCCGCCGGCGCAACUCUGUAGCGCAUACAUGGAUGAGUUAUUAAGAACAGGUGGAUCAUGUUGCCGCUGGUGAUCACUUGGCUCCUUGUCUGUCUAACCAGGAGAUGGUAUGGCUUGCGUCGCUGCGCCAGCGUAUCAUGUGAGCGGCCGUAACACUGGAUAUUUUCCUGUCUAACCAGCAGAUGGUAUGGCUCGCGUCACUGCGCCAGCUACAGUUGCGUUCGGCAUUCACGUGACCAUGUCCUAGAUGAGUUUGGGCUUGUAGAAUGCACAUCAAUAAUUGUGUUUGCUUUUCUUUUUCUGAUAAUAGUGUAGUGGAGUGGGGCAGUGACGCAGUGGAGGAGUUCAUUUCUUCAGUCCAAGAUGUUGUAGCUAGCUUGUGACUUGACGCCUUUGCCAAAUGAUUGCCUAGCGAUAGCAAAUUAAACAAUGUCGCAACGAUACUAAGGUACUUCAAAAAAAUCCAGUCUCCUUAUCAAACGAA